ACAUUUACAGUAUGGCAAACAAGGGCUGUGGAAACACCAGAGGUGGAACCAGGUACCUUGGAAGGGUAUACGCCUGUUGGCCGGUCACAUUCGCCGUAAACUCAAUAUCUUGAUCAGUUUUCGUGCUUUGGCAAGACCUUCAAAUCCGCAAUCAGGGAGGUACAUUUUAAGGAUGAGUAGGCAUCCCCUGUCGACCAGUAAUCCCGCCAUGAACCCAUUAUCUUGAUCAGGUACCUUGCGUGAAAUAAAUCGUGAAAUCACUCCUACUAAGAGAUGAUAAACAUACCAGUGACGGAUCCCAUGGCAUGAAGAAGAUACCAUGGCUGAGACAAAUUGAAGACUUCAGCGUGAGUGGUGUUGA